GGCUUGAGGUGGCUUCCGGCCGCCAGGCGAGACUCCGCGGGAAAACUCCCUGCUAGAGAGACUAGGAGAUUUGGGGCUGCGGCCGUUUCCUCCGGAGCACCCACGGGACUGUGUGCUGGGGUCCCUCCACCGGCUGUGUCCUUUAUUCUUCUUUCUCACCCAACGAUUUACCUGAACGGUUAUAAAGUGCACGUUAUUUCCCUAAGGUCCUUCUUACUGAUGUGUUGCUCUUCUUCAUGGCUCGUGAAAACUAUUAGAGUCAUCCAAGGGUGGGAAGAGAGAUCAGCAACGUUAACUGGGUGUCAAGAAAACAUACCGAGAUUGAAGCCAUCCACUUCUGCAGGAACACCGAAAAGAAAGCUUACAAUCUGAAGGUGUCCGUUCCUACACUGGUCAGACCACUGUCCUUGGGGCAGCUGGGGUCUUUGGGACCCUCCACCGGGCUCGCCGGUCCGUCGGACUUUUGGCUGAGAUCCGUGUCAGACUCCUCCGAAUAGUCGUCUGUUGGCAUCGAGGGCUGAACCCCUGAGGUGCUGCAUGAACUUGAG
rnacentral:lncRNA from 1 species